AGACUUUGAUUAUGGCUCAGGACGAACGCUGGCGGCGUGCUUAACACAUGCAAGUCGAACGGGAUCCAGAACUUCGGUUCUGGUGAGAGUGGCGAACGGGUGAGUAACACGUGAGUAACCUGCCCCCUUCAUCGGGAUAACGUCGGGAAAUCGGCGCUAAUACCGAAUAUUCUGGUCUUGUCGCAUGGCGAGAUUUGGAAAGGAUUCUGGUGGGGGAUGGACUCGCGGCCUAUCAGCUAGUUGGCGGGGUAACGGCCCACCAAGGCAACGACGGGUAGCCGGCCUGAGAGGGUGACCGGCCACACUGGGACUGAGACACGGCCCAGACUCCUACGGGAGGCAGCAGUGGGGGAAUAUUUGCACAAAUGGGCGAAAAGCCUUGAUGCAACCAACCCCCCCCGUGAGGGAAUGACCGGCCCCUUCCGGGUUUGUAAAAACCCUCUUUUUUCAAUUAGGGGAAAGAAAGCUUUUU
rnacentral:rRNA from 1 species